AGCAAGUUCUGCCCUAAGAAGCAGGCACAGAAAAAGCAAAGGCUGUGCAGGAGCCAUUGUCCGAGGUACACUCUCCUCAGCAGAGGGCUCAGGUGCUGCCUCUUGGAGUGCACUUGCUGAUGAACAGGAUCCCAUCUGCCAGGAGCACCCAAGCAGUCACAUACUAUUCUUGCUGGCAACCAAGAGUAAAGUAGGAGAUUGAUAUUUACUUCCCUAGAAUGAAAAAGAAAAAAAAAGAAAAAGAAAAAAGAAGGAAACUUUUGUGUACUUCUUUUCUAGGCCAGGAUUCUGCUGUUUGUUCUUGUCCUGAACUUUUUCUCUUCCUACUGGAUGAUCACAUUCUUCACUCCAUUUCAUAAAAGGAUCUGCCUGGUUGUUCCUGGGAAGAUGAGAGUGACCUGGAGCCCCACGCUGGACUGCUUGCUGCUUGCAAAAGCACCUGAGAGUGAAGGGAGACGCUUUGCUCCACAGAGGAUUGUGCGUGUGUGUCAUGGUUUUAUGAUUUUUGGUUAUUGGUAUUCCACAUCAUAACAUCAUGUAGUGUACUGAGAGUUAAAGAGUUAAUGCUCCAGUUCCAUGGAUAGUCCCGGGUACCUGGUCCUCAGAACUAAUUACAUUUCCCGGGGGACUUUGCUGCCCUGUUACCAUUUCCGUUCAGAGGGAAAGAUAAAGCUGUUUGCAGAUCACGAGGCGCUCCCUUCUCGUCCCAUCUCUCGUCCCGGCAGCAUCUCGCUCCCCAGCCGUCUCACCGUUGGCACUAGAGUAAGGCCUACCUUAAUUCUGGACACUCUCUCUCAUUGUAUUGGAUUUAUUCGCUUAAACUGUAAUUAUAUUGUAUUAUAUUGUGUUAUUUUGCAUUCUGAUACCUCAUUUAGUAAAUUAGUUUGUUUCUCCUCAGAUCAUUGCUGCUGUUUUGUUUUAGGCCCAUCUCCCUGCCCUUUCCCUUUUUCCCUUUUCCCUUUCCUGGGGCGUGGGUUCGUGGGUCCCCCGCCCCAUUCGUCACAGAACCGGGCUGAACCAGCCCAUAAACAGCUGACAGUGUGUAAUGACAAAACAGAAAAACUGGAGCCUGGGAGUGCUUCCAGCCGCAGCUCUGCACGUGGGCAGCGAGGGUGUCGUGUGAUGGCCCCAUCUCCUGACAAGGGAGAGCAGAUGGGGACACAGCGAUUGCUGGAACGACCACAUGGCUCCCAGAGUGCCCGUGGGGCUCCCUUCACUUCCAGCAGAGCUGCUGAGCAAUUCUCACUAUACUGAUCAGCAACAGCGCACAAGGCCUGAUCAAAGCGUGUGUGGAGCAGGGAGAUCACUGAGCUGAUUCUGCAGGACCCCGCCAAGACCCAGCAAACCAACUCCAAGUCACGCAUGCAGCAGAGUGUUUUCUUUUACUUUCCUGCUCAGCAUUCUUGCUGUUGCUCUCAUCUGUCACAGAUGAACAUGAGUUUACUUGGCUUCUCCUUUCCAAAUCUCAGAGGAUACUGCUCACAGACAAAUUAAAACAGGCACAAGUUUCUGAAGCCAUUAUUUGUCAUAAUAAAACCCUAAGGCAGCUUUAUUACA
ensembl:lncRNA